AUUGAACGCUGGCGGCAUGCCUUACACAUGCAAGUCGAACGGUAACGGGCCUUCGGGUGCCGACGAGUGGCGAACGGGUGAGUAAUGCAUCGGAACGUACCUUUCAGUGGGGGAUAACGUAGCGAAAGUUACGCUAAUACCGCAUAUUCUGUGAGCAGGAAAGCAGGGGAUCGCAAGACCUUGCGCUGAUUGAGCGGCCGAUGUCAGAUUAGCUAGUUGGUGAGGUAAAGGCUCACCAAGGCGACGAUCUGUAGCGGGUCUGAGAGGAUGAUCGCCACACUGGAACUGAGACACGGUCCAGAUUCCUACGGGAGGCAGCAGUGGGGAAUUUUGGACAAUGGGGGCAACCCUGAUCCAGCCAUGCCGCGUGAGUGAAGAAGGCCUUC
rnacentral:rRNA from 1 species